rnacentral:lncRNA from 1 species
CCCCGAGUGGGAGGUCCAGGUGAAGCCUCUGUGUGGAAGAAAGGCUGGCUGAAUAUCCAACAGCAGCUCCAGCUCAGUGUGAAGACAUCUACAGUACUUGGCUGAGACUACACUGCUAUGGAGGAAGAUACUAGACUGAUAAUUCAAGACCUGUUUAGAUCGAAGAUCAAAAAGGGACGCUUGAAGGUUCCAGCUUCUUUUCUAAAACAGAGGCUGAAAGAUCAAGAAAGGCUGUGAACACACAUUGAGGAGAAGAGCAAACCAAGAUAAGAAAUGAAUGUGAAGACUUAAUGGCAGCUGCAUGAAAAAUG